AUGCAAGUGUGCGGCUGCGUUGGCAAACCAGAAAGGGAGAACAGCUCAUCAAUGAGGAGCAAUUGCGUCGCCAUGCUUCAGUUGCACCAGACAGAUGAUGGUGGGUGGUAUGUAUCUGAAAAUCGCGCCUCCCACACCCAUGAAAUACUACGGACUUGUGCUGAGAAGCUGCACUGGCCAUCACACCGGCACAUUGACACGUACACAAGAGACCUUGUGAAACAGUUGCACCGGAACAAUGUAAAUCUGGGGAAGGUAUACAGCAUCAUUGGAAGCCUAUUUGGGCAGAUGGAGAACAUCCCGUUCACAAAAGAGGUGCCUUAG
rnacentral:rRNA from 1 species